UACGUAGGGUGCGAGCGUUGUCCGGAAUUAUUGGGCGUAAAGAGCUCGUAGGCGGUGUGUCACGUCGGCCGUGAAAACCUGGGGCUUAACUCUGGGCGUGCGGUCGAUACGGGCAUCACUAGAGUUCGGCAGGGGAGACUGGAAUUCCUGGUGUAGCGGUGAAAUGCGUAGAUAUCAGGAGGAACACCGGUGGUGUAGACGGCUUUCUGGACAAUCACUGACGCUGAGGUACGAAAGCGUGGGUAGCAAACAGG
rnacentral:rRNA from 1 species